CCUACGGGAGGCAGCAGUGAGGAAUAUUGGUCAAUGGACGAGAGUCUGAACCAGCCAAGUAGCGUGAAGGAUGACUGCCCUAUGGGUUGUAAACUUCUUUUAUAUGGGAAUAAAAUGUUCCACGUGUGGGAUUUUGUAUGUACCAUAUGAAUAAGGAUCGGCUAACUCCGUGCCAGCAGCCGCGGUAAUACGGAGGAUCCGAGGGUUAUCCGGCUUUCUUGGGUUUAAAGGGAGCGUAGGUGGAUUGUUAAGUCAGUUGUGAAAGUUUGCGGCUCAACCGUAAAAUUGCAGUUGAAACUGGCAGUCUUGAGUACAGUAGAGGUAGGCGGAAUUCGUGGUGUAGCGGUGAAAUGCUUAGAUAUCACGAAGAACUCCGAGUGCGAAGGCAGCUCACUGGACUGCAACUGACACUGAGGCUCGAAAGUGUGGGUAUCAAACAGGAUUAGAUACCCUGGUAGUC
rnacentral:rRNA from 1 species